rnacentral:rRNA from 1 species
AGCAGUCGCCACGGUAAUACGUAGGGUGCAAGCGUUAAUCGGAAUUACUGGGCGUAAAGCGUGCGCAGGCGGUUAUAUAAGACAGAUGUGAAAUCCCCGGGCUCAACCUGGGAACUGCAUUUGUGACUGUAUAGCUAGAGUACGGCAGAGGGGGAUGGAAUUCCGCGUGUAGCAGUGAAAUGCGUAGAUAUGCGGAGGAACACCGAUGGCGAAGGCAAUCCCCUGGGCCUGUACUGACGCUCAUGCACGAAAGCGUGGGGAGCAAACAGGAUUAGAUACCCCAGUAGUCCCUGUCUCUUAUAA